GAUGAACGCUGGCGGCGUGCCUAAUACAUGCAAGUCGAGCGAACGGACGAGAGGCUUGCUUCUCUGAUGUUAGCGGCGGACGGAUGAGUAACACGUGGAUAACCUACCUAUAAUACUGGGAUAACUUCGGGAAACCGGAGCUAAUACCGGAUAAUAUUUUGAACCGCAUGGUUCAAAAGUGAAAGACGGUCUUGCUGUCACUUAUAGAUGUAUCCGCGCUGCAUUAGCUAUUUGGUAAGGUAACGGCUUACCAAGGCAACGAUGCAUAGCCGACCUGAGAGGGUGAUCGGCCACACUGGAACUGAGACACGGUCCAGACUCCUACGGGAGGCAGCAGUAGCGAAUCUUCCGCAAUGGGCGAAAGCCUGACGGAGCAACGCCGCGUGAGUGAUGAAGGUCUUCGGAUCGUAAAACUCUGUUAUUAGGGAAGAACAUAUGUGUAAGUAACUGUGCACAUCUUGACGGUACCUAAUCAGAAAGCCACGGCUAACUACGUG
rnacentral:rRNA from 1 species